GCCCCUAUAGCUCAAUGGAUAGAGCAACGGCCUUCUAAUCCGUAGGUUGCAGGUUCGAGUCCUGCUGGGGGCACCCCAU
rnacentral:tRNA from 1 species